rnacentral:rRNA from 1 species
UAGUAACGGCGAGUGAAGCGGCAACAGCUCAAAUUUUGAAAUUCUGGCGCAAGCCCGAGUUGUAAUUUGUAGAGGAUGUUUCCUGGCGACGUGCCUUCCGAGUUUCCCUGGAACGGGACGCCAUAGAGGGUGAGAGCCCCGUACGGUUGGAUGCCUAGCCUCUGUGAAACUCCUUCGACGAGUCGAGUAGUUUGGGAAUGCUGCUCUAAAUGGGAGGUAUACGUCUUCUAAAGCUAAAUACCGGCCAGAGACCGAUAGCGCACAAGUAGAGUGAUCGAAAGAUGAAAAGCACUUUGAAAAGAGGGUUAAAAAGUACGUGAAAUUGUUGAAAGGGAAGCGUUCAUGACCAGACUUGGGCAGGUUGAUCAUCCGUGGUUCUCCGCGGUGCACUCUGCCUGCCCAGGCCAGCAUCAGUUCGCC